CUUGAAUACUAUAAUAGAUUGAGAUAAACUGUAAACAGCAACAAUGUUCAGCAAAGUAAGACCUAAAAAUAAGUCAACACGACCAAAAUGAUCAAUUGACCCCCUAAGGAGUUAUUGCCCUUCAUAGUCAAUUUUUAACAAUUUUCAUAAAAUUUGUAGAUUUUCACAAACAUUUUCCACUGAAACUACUGAGCCAAGUUCAUUAUAGAUAGAGAUAAUUGUAAGCAGCAAGAAUGUUAAGUAAAGUAAAAUCUAAAAACACAUCACCAUUACCAAAAAGCAAUUUUGUCAUGAAUCCAUCUGUGUCCUUUGUUGACCAAGGUGAGCGACACAGGCUCUUUAGAGCCUCUAGUUA
rnacentral:lncRNA from 1 species